rnacentral:rRNA from 1 species
UUCCGGUUGAUCCUGCCGGACCUGACUGCUAUCGGAUUGAUACUAAGCCAUGCUAGUCUUUGCAGUAAUGCAAGGCAUACGGCUCAGUAACACGUAGUCAACUUACCCUAUGGACGAGGAUAAUCUCGGGAAACUGAGCAUAAUACUCGAUAGAUCAUAAUGCCUGGAAUGGUUUAUGGUUAAAAUGAUUCGUCGCCAUAGGAUGGGACUGCGGCCUAUCAGUUUGUUGGUGAGGUAAUGGCCCACCAAGACUAUUACAGGUACGGGCUCUGAGAGGAGUAGCCCGGAGAUGGGUACUGAGACACGGACCCAGGCCCUAUGGGGCGCAGCAGGCGAGAAAACUUUGCAAUGUGCGAAAGCACGACAAGGUUAAUCCGAGUGAUUUCUGCUAAAGAAAUCUUUUGUUAGUCCUAGAAACACUAACGAAUAAGGGGUGGGCAAGUUCUGGUGUCAGCCGCCGCGGUAAAACCAGCACCUCAAGUGGUCAGGAUGAUUAUUGGGCCUAAAGCAUCCGUAGCCGGCUCUGUAAGUUUUCGGUUAAAUCUGUACGCUUAACGUACAGGCCGCCGGGAAUACUGCAAAGCUAGGGAGUGGGAGAAGUAGACGGUACUCGGUAGGAAGUGGUAAAAUGCUUUGAUCUAUCGAUGACCACCUGUGGCGAAGGCGGUCUACUAGAACACGUCCGACGGUGAGGGAUGAAAGCUGGGGGAGCAAACCGGAUUAGAUACCCGGGUAGUCCCAGCUGUAAACUAUGCAAACUCAGUGAUGCAUUGGCUUGUGGCCAAUGCAGUGCUGCAGGGAAGCCGUUAAGUUUGCCGCCUGGGAAGUACGUACGCAAGUAUGAAACUUAAAGGAAUUGGCGGGGGAGCACCACAAGGGGUGAAGCCUGCGGUUCAAUUGGAUUCAACGCCGGG